rnacentral:rRNA from 1 species
AUUGAACGCUGGCGGCAGGCCUAACACAUGCAAGUCGAGCGGAGCGGCGGACGGGUGAGUAAUGCCUAGGAAUGUGACUGGUAGUGGGGGAUAACGUCCGGAAAGGAGCGCUAAUACCGCAUACUAUCAGAUGAGCCUAGGUAGGAUUAGCUAGUUGGUGGGGUAAAGGCUCACCAAGGCGACGAUCCGUCACUGGUCUGAGAGGAUGAUCAGUCACACUGGAACUGAGACACGGUCCAGACUCCUACGGGAGGCAGCAGUGGGGAAUUUUGGACAAUGGGGGAAACCCUGAUCCAGCCAUGCCGCGUGUGCGAUGAAGGUCUUCGGAUUGUAAAGCACUUUUGGUUGGGAGGCGGUACCAACAGAAUAAGCACCGGCUAACUCCGUGCCAGCAGCCGCGGUAAUAC